CAUGCAUAAACGCCAAAAUAUGGUAUUCGUUGCGAGGUUUCUUAUUUCUGAAAUAUUAAUACGGAGUACCCGCUUGUUAUUUUUCAAGUGAUUCAUACCGCAUUUUAAAACAGUGGUCGUUUGCAAUUUGGAGUUUAGAGUAAAAUAAUUUAUUAACUAUUGUGUUUUGAAGAAAUUAAUGAUUUAUUUUUACUUUUAAUUAAAAUCUGUUUACUUUUAUAUUUUUCUUUUUUGCUUGUUUUGUUUUUAUACCUGAAUAGUUUUCUAAUUGAGUGUUAGGGUUUAAAAUGGAUUCAUGAUUUGUUGGACUAAUAUUAUUGAACUAGAAUUUAUCAGUUAGUUCUUCAUCUACUAUUUUCUUUACUUGCAAAACUUGUCUGAUUAUAUCCAGUUUUUGAUCGUUAGUAAAUGAACACAUCGAAUGUGCUUGUUGACUUGCUCAAAAUAACAUUUUCGACAUCUGCUUGAAAGAACUUACAUAUUUGUUUAAUAAUAUGUCAACAAAAUUUCUUAAAGC
rnacentral:lncRNA from 1 species